AUGGGUCUCCCAGCCUGGCGCCUGGCUAUAGCCGGUUGUGGUCAGUGGGUGUGUUUGUGGAUCCAGAGGACGGAGGAGGGCAGGGGAAGACGGUGGGGAGUGACCUUCCAGCCUUCAGGCUGGGCUGGGAAGGGUGACCCAGCUGUGAGACCAGUGCUGAGCAGGGGUGUGUCCUGCGCCCCAGAUCCCCAACUCUUACCCACCUGGGGGCGGGGAGCAGACAGAGUCCUGAACCUCCCUCUCAGAGGCUGAAGAGGGAAGCCUGGCAUCGGCUGGGAAUCUGCGGAUCGGCCACCAAGUCAUCCAGUCAUUACGCCCAUCCACUUAUCCAUCCUUCCAUCCAUCCAUCUGUCCACUCACCCACCCACUUAUCCAUCCAGGACUAGGUCUUCCUGGUGAGCAAGAAUGGUGGGACCCAGCCCUGCUACAGAGUGGCCGUGGCACCCCGGGCAGCUGCUCUGCCUCUGGUCCUGCUGAUCGGGGCCUGACCACUCUGCUCAUCUCCAGAAAGGUCAGCUCUGGUGGGGCAGCGGCUGGGGAUCUGGCCCUGGAUCCGCUCCUCUACCUCAGCCCCUUUCCUCUGUAGCCCGGCAGCUCCAGCUGCUGUAACCUCAACACCCUUUCAGGGCAGGAAGUGGACAUCCUCUCAUGCAGGAGGAUGGACCAGGGCCCAUCCCUGAUCUGGGGAGGGGAGGGGGGACCCUGGUGGGACGGUGGGCUGGGUUGUCAGUCAGAGGCUCUGGUAGGUCAGUGACAUCUAGCCGCUUCCUUUGAGGGUCACUCACACACUCAGGAGAUUUUCAUCAUUUGCUGAUCUGCAUUUGGGAACUUCCCUACUCGCUAAAAUCUAUUUGUAACCCUAAAAUCAGUACUUGUCUCGCAAUCAUUUGCUGAUAUGCAUAGACCAGCAGAAUUUCUGAGUCCCCAGCUGAGGUCAGAAGGAGCCACUCUGGGCUUUUUUGUUCAAUCUCACGCUGCAAACACGGCCAGUUCAGCACUCAGUCUUCCACAUUUUUGUGCUUUUGGGGGAGACAGUCCUGUUUCACGUGGCCCUGGCCCAGCCCUAAAUGUGUCCAGUGUCC
rnacentral:lncRNA from 1 species